UACGGGAGGCAGCAGUUGGGAAUAUUGCACAAUGGGCGAAAGCCUGAUGCAGCAAUCCCGCGUGGGUGACGAAGGCCUUCGGGUCGUAAAGCCCUUUCAGCAGGGAAGAAGGGAAACUUGACGGUACCUGCAGAAGAAGCACCGGCUAACUCCGUGCCAGCAGCCGCGGUAAU
rnacentral:rRNA from 1 species